GACGAACGCUGGCGGCGUGCUUAACACAUGCAAGUCGAACGGAAAGACCCUGCUUUUGUGGGGUGCUCGAGUGGCGAACGGGUGAGUAACACGUGAGUAGCCUGCCCUUGACUUUGGGAUAACUUCAGGAAACUGGGGCUAAUACCGGAUAGGAGCUCCUGCUGCAUGGUGGGGGUUGGAAAGUUUCGGCGGUUGGGGAUGGACUCGCGGCUUAUCAGCUUGUUGGUGGGGUAGUGGCUUACCAAGGCUUUGACGGGUAGCCGGCCUGAGAGGGUGACCGGCCACAUUGGGACUGAGGUACGGCCCAGACUCCUACGGGAGGCAGCAGUGGGGAAUAUUGCACAGUGGGCGGAAGCCUGAUGCGGCAACGCCGCGUGCGGGAUGACGGCCUUCGGGUUGUAAACCGCUUUCGCCUGUGACGAGGCGUGAGUGACGGUAAUGGGUAAAGAAGCACCGGCUAACUACGUG
rnacentral:rRNA from 1 species